AGAGUUUGAUCAUGGCUCAGGAUGAACGCUAGCGGCACGCUUCAUACAUGCAAGUCGAGGGGCAGCAUAAAGUACUUGUACUUUGAUGGCGACCGGCGAACGGGUGCGUAACGCGUAUGCAACUUACCUUUUACUAGAGAAUAGCCAAGAGAAAUCUUGAUUAAUGCUCUAUACACUUAUUAAUUCUCAUGAAUCUAUAAGAAAAGCUCCGGCGGUAAAAGAUGGGCAUGCGUCCUAUUAGCUUGUAGGUGAGGUAACGGCUCACCUAAGCUCCGAUAGGUAGGGGUCCUGAGAGGGAGAUCCCCCACACUGGUACUGAGACACGGACCAGACUUCUACGGAAGGCAGCAGUAAGGAAUAUUGGACAAUGGAGGCAACUCUGAUCCAGCGAUGCCGCGUGAAGGAAGACGGCCCUAUGGGUUGUAAACUUCUUUUAUACAGGAAGAAACCUUUCCACGUGUGGAAAGCUGACGGUACUGUAAGAAUAAGGAUCGGCUAACUCCGUGCCAGCAGCCGCGGUAAUACGGAGGAUCCAAGCGUUAUCCGGAAUUAUUGGGUUUAAAGGGUCCGCAGGCUGUUUGUUAAGUCAGGGGUGAAAUCCUACCGCUCAACGGUAGAACUGCCUUUGAUACUGGCAAACUUGAGUUAUUGUGAAGUAGUUAGAAUGUGUAGUGUAGCGGUGAAAUGCAUAGAUAUUACACAGAAUACCGAUUGCGAAAGCAGAUUACUAACAAUAUACUGACGCUGAGGGACGAAAGCGUGGGUAGCGAACAGGAUUAGAUACCCUGGUAGUCCACGCCGUAAACGAUGGUCACUAGCUGUUUGAUGUACAUUGGUACAUUGAGUGGCUAAGCGAAAGUGAUAAGUGACCCACCUGGGGAGUACGCUC
rnacentral:rRNA from 1 species